rnacentral:rRNA from 1 species
UACGUAGGGUGCAAGCGUUGUCCGGAAUUAUUGGGCGUAAAGAGCUCGUAGGCGGUUCGUCACGUCGGCUGUGAAAUCCCGAGGCUCAACCUCGGGUCUGCAGUCGAUACGGGCGGACUGGAGUACUGCAGGGGAGACUGGAAUUCCUGGUGUAGCGGUGAAAUGCGCAGAUAUCAGGAGGAACACCGGUGGCGAAGGCGGGUCUCUGGGCCAUUACUGACGCUGAGGAGCGAAAGCGUGGGGAGCGAACAGG